GAUGAACGCUGGCGGCGUGCCUAACACAUGCAAGUCGAACGGUGGGCGGACGGGUGAGUCACACGUGGGUAACCUGCCUCAUAGAGGGGGAUAACAGAAAGAAAUCACUGAUAAUACCGCAUACUAUGAGAUGGACCCGCGACUGGUUAGCCGGUUGGUAAGGUAAGGACUUACAAAUGCAACGAUCAGUAGCCGGUCUAAGAGGAUGAACGGCAACAUUGGGACUGGGCCACGGCCCGAACGCUUGCGGGAGGAGGCAGUGGGUGAUAUUGCACAAUGGGGGGAACCCUGAUGCAGCGAGGGCGGGAGAGUGAAGAAGUAUUGAGGUAUGUAAAGCUCUAUCAGAAGGGAAGCAGUACCGGAAGAAGAAGCCCCGGCUAACUACGUGCCAGCAGCCGCGGUAAUUC
rnacentral:rRNA from 1 species